rnacentral:lncRNA from 1 species
GUGAUGUACAGCUAGGUAGGUGUGAGGUACAGGUAGGGAGGGAGGUGUGAGGUGCAGCUGGGGAGAUGUGAGAUACAGCUGGGGAGGUGUGAGAUAACGCUGGGAAGGUGUGAGGUACAAAUAUGGAGGUGUGAGGUGCAGCUAGGCAUAUGUUAGGUACAGUUAGGGAGGUGUGAGAUACAGCUAGGGAGGUGUGAGGUAAAGCUAGGUAGGCGUGAGGUACAGCUAGGUAGGUGUGAGAUACAGCUAGGGGGGUGUGAGAUACAGCUAGGGAGGUGUGAGGUACAGCUAGGGAGGUGUGAGGUACAGCUAGGGAGGUGGGAGGUACUGUUACGGAGGUGUGAGAUACAGCUAGGGAGGUGUGAGGUACAACUAGGGAGGUGUGAGAUACAGCUAGGGAGGUAUGAGGUACAGCUAGGGAGGUGUGAGGUUCAGGUGGGGAGGUGUGAGGUACAACUAGGGAGGUGGGAGGUACACCUUGGGAGGUGUGAGGUAAAGCUAGGGAGGUGUGAGAUACAGCUAGGGAGGUGUGAGGUAAAACUAGGGAGGUGUGAGAUACAGCUAGGGAGGUGUGAAGUACAGUUAUGGAGGUGUGAGGUACAGUUAGGGAGGUGUGAGAUACAGGUGGGGGGGGUAUGAGGAACAGUUAGGGAGGUGUGAGGUACAGUUAGGGAGGUGUGAGGUUCAACUGGGGAGGUGUGUGGUACAGUGAGAGAGGUGUGAAUUAUAGCUGGGGACGUAUGAGGUACAGUUAGGGAGGUGUGAGGUACAGGUGGGGAGGUGUUGGAUACAGGUGGGGAGGCAUGAGGUACAACUAGGGAGGUGUAAAGUGCAGCUGGGGCGGUGUAAGGUACAGCUAUGGAGGUGCGAGGUACAGAUAGGGAGGUGUAAGGUACAGCUAGGGAGGUGCGAGGUACAACUAGGGAGGUGUGAGGUACAGAUAGGGAGGCGUGAGGGACAGAUGGGGAGGUGAGAGGUACAGCUGGGGAUUUGUGAGGUACAGCUACGGAGGUGUGUGGUACAGCUAGGGAGGUCUGAGGUACAGGUGGGAGGUUUGAGGUACAGAUGGGGAGGUGUGAGGUACAGGUGGGGAGGCGUGUGGUACAGCUAUGGAGUUGUAAGAUACAGGUCGGGAGCUUUGAGGUACAGUUAGGGAUGUGUGAGGUACAGUUAGGGAGGUGUGAGAUACAGCUGGGGAAGUGUGUGGUACAGUUAGGGAGGUGUGAGGUACACUUAGAAAGCUCUGAGGUACAGCUGUGGAAGUGUGUGGUACAACUGUGGAGGUGUGAGUUACAGCUGGGGAGGUAUGAGGUACAGUUAACCAGGUGUGAUGUACUGCUAUGGACGUGUGGGGUACAGGUGGGGAGUUGUGAGAUACAGCUGGGGAGGUGUAAGGUACAGCUGGGGAGGUGUGAGGUACAAUUAGGGAGGUGUGAGGUACAGCUAGUGAGAUGUGAGGUACAAUUAGGGAGGAGUGAGUGUACAAUAAGGGAGGGGUGAGGUACAGCUAGGGAGAUGUAAGGUACAACUAGAUAAGUAUGAGGUACAGGUAGGGAGGUGUGAGGUACAGCUAGGGAUGUGUGAGGUACAACUGGGGAGGUUGAGGUACAGCUGGGGAGGUGUGAGGAUCAGUGAGUGAAAUGUGAUGUACAACUAAGGAAGUGUGAGGUACAGCUAGGGAGGUGUGAGGUAAAAUUAGGGAGGUGUGAGGUACAGCUAGGGAGAUGUGAGGUACAAUUAGGGAGGGGUGAGGUACAGCUAGGCAGGUGUGAGAUAAAGCUGGGGAGGUGUAAAGUACAGUUAGUUAGGUAUGAGGUACAGGUAUGGAGGUGUGAGGUAUAGCCGGGGAUAUUUGAGGUACAGCUGGGGAGGUGUUGUUGCAUCUGUAACGUGUAAGAUACAGCUGGGGAGGUGUGAGGUACAGCUAGGGAGGUCUGAGGUACAGGUGGGGAGGUGUGAGGUAUAGCUAGGUAGGUGUAAGGUACAACUUGGUAGGUAUGAGGUACAGCUAGGGAGGUGUGAGGUACAGGUGGGGAGGUGUGAGGUUCAGCUGGGUAGGUUUGUGGUACAGCUGGGGAAGGUGUGAGGCAGAGACUGCCGUGCUCCGAACAAUCUAUGGAUCGCGGCCCGGGUCGUUGUGACCAUUUGACAAU